ACACGACUACAUUAGAUACCCGCGUAGUCCCAGCCCUAAACGAUACUCGCUAGGUGUCGGCCACGGUGCGACCGUUGUCGGUGCCGUAGGGAAGCCGUGAAGCGAGCCACCUGGGAAGUACGGCCGCAAGGCUGAAACUUAAAGGAAUUGGCGGGGAGCACAACAACGGGUGGAGCUUGCGGUUUAAUUGGAUUCAACGCCGGAAAUCUUACCGGGACCGACAGCAACAUGAAGGCCAAGCUGAAGACUUUGCCGGAUUAGCUG
rnacentral:rRNA from 1 species